UACGUAGGGGGGCAAGCGUUGUCCGGAAUCAUUGGGCGUAAAGAGCGUGUAGGCGGCCCGGUAAGUCCGCUGUAAAAGUCAAAGGCUUAACCUUUGAAUGUCAGUGGAUACUGCCGGGCUAGAGUCCGGAAGAGGCGAGUGGAACUCCUGGUGUAGCGGUGGAAUGCGCAGAUAUCAGGAAGAACACCAACGGCGAAGGCAGCUCGCUAGGACGGUACUGACGCUGAGACGCGAAAGCGUGGGGAGCGAACAGG
rnacentral:rRNA from 1 species